GCUAAAUACGUGCAGGCGGCCGCGGUAAUAUGGAGGGGGCGGGGGUUUGUGGGAAGUAUGUGGCGUAAAGGGCGGGUAGGCGGUUGUAUAAGUCUGGAGUGAAAGUCCUGUUUUCAAGAUUGGAAUUGGUUUGGGUACUGUAGGGCUUGAGUGCAGGAGAGGUUAUCGGAAUUCCCGGUGUAGCGGUGAAAUGCGUAGAGAUCGGGAGGAACACCAGUGGCGAAGGCGGGUAACUGGACUGCAACUGACGCUGAGGCGCGAAAGUGUGGGGAGCAAACAGGAUUAGAUACCCGGGUAGUC
rnacentral:rRNA from 1 species